AUCUAUCAAAUUUCUGCAACCUUUGCUCUUCUCCAGUGGAGCUGAAUUUUGGACACCCUAUAGUUAUUGAGCAGAUGAACAACUUUCAAGAAGGAAUCGUUUCUGUUUGAGCGACGGAAAUUAAAGUGUUGAGGCUCCAAACACAACAGUCGGAUUCCCGCAAAUUUAAAGACUGCUGUGAUGUUUCGAAGAUCUGGAAAUAUUUAACCGUUAGUUCAUUCUGAAUUUUUGAUAUGUCAUGAAAGAGAUGAUAAGGAACAACUUCGAUGAAGAAAGUAUGUUGAUCUGAACAAGAGAAAAUGGAGUUUCGAAGCUCACAACAA
rnacentral:lncRNA from 1 species